ACAUAACCAAACACAGGAAAGUGUUUUCCAGUUCAUUUUCCAUAACACUACCAAACAUCGGAAUUCACUUUCCCCGGAAUUCACUUUCCAAAAGGAAACAACUUUCCUGCAAACAAACGGAGCCUAAAUCUAACUAUUUCGGAUAUUUUUUAUUUUUAGAUCAGAGCACAAGGAAGAAUACCAUCAACUUCUUCCUGAAGACUAUCUGCACCUCCUAACUUGGUUUACAACAAAUCAUGUGUAUUUCACCACCAGGAUAACACCAUUUGGCGCCACAUUUUGCUAAUAUUUUGCAUUAAAUCAUUAAAGAAAAGAAAGAAAGAAAGAAAAGCACUCUGUGUCAACUUCGCUUCAACAAAAGUAGCCAGCCAUUUUCCUUCCUCCAAAAUGCGAGAAGGAAACAGAAAAUCAAACCAGAAAGCCAGCAAAAAUUCACAGACACAAGAACAAUCAUGUACUGUAACGAACCUAAUUAUUAUGUCUGGAAACGCUUCAAUGUGAUAAAACAAGCAGCAACAAAAAAAGACCCUCUGAGAUUGAAUUAAUAUAACAGCAGAUAUUGAAUCAAAACCAUAAUAUUUCAAUCUUUCUUUAUUCCCAGCAAGAGGGGAGACAGGAGGUUCAAGAAGGCAUUGACAAAUCAAGAUAAACA